rnacentral:rRNA from 1 species
CCUACGGGUGGCAGCAGUGAGGAAUAUUGGUCAAUGGGCGCGAGCCUGAACCAGCCAAGUCGCGUGAGUGAAGACGGUCUUAUGGAUUGUAAACCUCUUUUGCCGGGGAGCAAAUGACGCCACGCGUGGCGUUCCGAGAGUCUCCGAACAAACAGCAUCGGCUAACUCCGUGCCAGCAGCAGCGGUAAUACGGAGGAUGCGAGCGUUAUCCGGAUUUAGUGGGGGGAAAGGGUGCGUAGGCGGUAGGAUAAGUUAGAGGUGAAAUCCACAGGCUCAACUUCGGAAUUGCCUCGGAUACUGUUCGGCUAGAGAGUAGGUGCGGUAGGCGGAAUGUAUGGUGUAGCGGUGAAAUGCUUAGAGAUCAUACAGAACACCGAUUGCGAAGGCAGCUUACCAAGCUACUUCUGACGUUGAGGCACGAAAGCGUGGGGAGCAAACAGGAUUAGAUACCCUUGUAGUC